rnacentral:lncRNA from 1 species
ACGUAAAUAAAAGUGAUUUUCACUAGCCACAGCAAAAAACUCGGGGGCUCUAGGAUCUCUUAAAGAAUCUGAUUUUGCAACAAAAGCAGAAAUUGACACGCUGCCUUCCUUUGAGAACUUUACAGCAUUGCCAACGACGUUUAAUAGAAUUUGCAUUAACUGUUGUUCGUCCCCAAUAAGGUUGUAUCCGGUUCCGGUUUUGGGUCUAGACGAGGUUUAAUAGAAUUUGCAGUAACCGUUGUUCAUCCCCAAUUACAUAUUCUGGCAAAUCUGCAGACAAACUAAGUGUGACGAACAGCUUUUUCACAGAUGCAAUAGGCUUGAUUAAGUUAAGGACCUACAGCAAUAAGCAGACACAUAAAUCAGUCAGUCACGUCCAGCAAAAUAUCAGUAAUGUAUUAAACAGAUCUACAACUCUUUGUUUUCUAUUUUUCACAGAUAACCUAGAACUUGGCAAGAAACAAAAGAAGAAAGAGAGGGGGCGAGAUUAUCUCCGAAUAGAGCAUGAAGAUUAAAUGUGACAAUAUCAAGUUGAAGACUUCCAUCCUC